AUUGAACGCUGGCGGCAGGCCUAACACAUGCAAGUCGAGCGAGCGGCGGACGGGUGAGUAAUGUAUGGGGACUGCCCGAUAGAGGGGGAUAACUACUGGAAACGGUGGCUAAUACCGCAUACUAUCGGAUAACCCAUAUGGGAUUAGCUAGUAGGUGGGGUAAAGGCUCACCUAGGCGACGAUCGCUAGCUGGUCUGAGAGGAUGAUCAGCCACACUGGAGGUGAGACAGGGCCCAGACGACUACGGAGGGAGCAGUGGGGAAUAGUGCACAAUGGGCGCAAGCCGGAUGCAGCCAUGCCGCGUGUAUGGAGAAGGCCUUAGGGGUGUAAAGUAGUUGCAGCGGGGAGGCGGUACCCGCAGAAGAAGCACCGGCUAACUCCGUGCCAGCAGCCGCGGUAAUAC
rnacentral:rRNA from 1 species